CCAAAGGCUCUUUUAAGAGCCACCUAUUUUCCCCAAAAAGAGCUGU
rfam:Heterocephalus glaber contig162316, whole genome shotgun sequence.